CCCUGGACCAGAGCACGCCAGGCACUCCUGUCUUCCACUGCCUCCCGCAGUUUGGUCAAACUCAUGCUGGUAGCUUCGAGAACACUGUCCCACCAUCUCGUCCUCUGUCGUCCCCUUCUCCUUGUGCCCUCCAUCUUUCCCAACAUCAGGGUCUUUUCCAGGGAGUCUUCUCUUCUCCUGAGGUGGCCAAAGUCUUGGAGCC